rnacentral:rRNA from 1 species
AGCAGCCGCGGUAAUUCCAGCUCCAAUAGCGUAUAUUAAAGUUGUUGCAGUUAAAAAGCUCGUAGUUGAAUUUCGGGGUUAGUAGGUUGGUCAUGCCUCUGGUAUGUACCGGUCUCACUGAUUCCUCCUUCCUGAUGAGCCGUAAUGCCAUUAAUUUGGUGUUGCGGGGAAUUUGGACUGUUACUUUGAAAAAAUUAGAGUGUUUAAAGCAGGCGCACGCUUGAAUACAUUAGCAUGGAAUAAUGAAAUAGGACGUUUGAUUCUAUUUUGUUGGUUUCUAGGAUCGACGUAAUGAUUAAUAGGGAUAGUUGGGGGCAUUAGUAUUCAAUUGUCAGAGGUGAAAUUCUUGGAUUUAUUGAAGACUAACUACUGCGAAAGCAUUUGCCAAGGAUGUUUUCAUUAAUCAAGAACGAAAGUUAGGGGAUCGAAGACGAUCAGAUACCGUCGUAGUCUUAACCAUAAACUAUGCCGACUAGGGAUCGGAUGAUGUUAAUUUUUAAUGACUCAUUCGGCGCCUUAA